CCUACGGGAGGCAGCAGUAGGGAAUAUUGGACAAUGGACGCAAGUCUGAUCCAGCCAUCCCGCGUGAAGGAUUAAGGCCCUAUGGGUUGUAAACUUCUUUUCUUUGGGAAUAAAAAGCGGUAUUCAUAUCGCCUUGAAGGUACCAGAGGAAUAAGCACCGGCUAACUCCGUGCCAGCAGCCGCGGUAAUACGGAGGGUGCAAGCGUUAUCCGGAUUCACUGGGUUUAAAGGGUGCGUAGGUGGCUUUGUAAGUCAGCGGUGAAAGCCUGGAGCUCAACUCCAGAAUUGCCAUUGAUACUGCAGAGCUUGAAUCAAGUUGAGGUGGAUGGAAUAUUACAUGUAGCGGUGAAAUGCUUAGAUAUGUAAUAGAACACCGAUUGCGAAGGCAGUUCACUAAGCUUGUAUUGACACUGAGGCACGAAAGCGUGGGGAUCAAACAGGAUUAGAUACCCUGGUAGUCCACGCCCUAAACGAUGCAAACUCGACAUUAGCGAUAUACAGUUAGUGUCCAAGCGAAAGCGUUAAGUUUGCCACNGGAGACGACGCGAGUAGAACGACGAAGAAGUAGAGCGUGAGACGAGACGACGACGACGACGAGGGAGGAGG
rnacentral:rRNA from 1 species